CCUANGGGUGGCAGCAGUGGGGAAUUUUGGACAAUGGGCGCAAGCCUGAUCCAGCCAUGCCGCGUGUGUGAAGAAGGCCUUCGGGUUGUAAAGCACUUUCGGCCGGAACGAAAUCGCGCGGGCUAUUACCCCGCGUGGAUGACGGUACCGGAAGAAGAAGCACCGGCUAACUACGUGCCAGCAGCCGCGGUAAUACGUAGGGUGCGAGCGUUAAUCGGAAUUACUGGGCGUAAAGGGUGCGCAGGCGGCCCCGCAAGUCAGGCGUGAAAUCCCCGGGCUUAACCUGGGAAUGGCGCUUGAAACUACGGGGCUCGAGUAUGGCAGAGGGAGGUGGAAUUCCACGUGUAGCGGUGAAAUGCGUAGAGAUGUGGAGGAACACCGAUGGCGAAGGCAGCCUCCUGGGCCAAUACUGACGCUCAUGCACGAAAGCGUGGGGAGCAAACAGGAUUAGAUACCCCGNUANUC
rnacentral:rRNA from 1 species